AUUUCAUGAUGAGGGCACUUAAUUAAUAGAUCAUUAAACCUCUCCCAACACUCAAAAAAAUGUUCAACUUCUUUUUGUUGAAAGUUGGUAAUCUCUCGUCGAAGUGC
rnacentral:snoRNA from 1 species